GUCCUCACUUCAGCAGCACAUAUACUAAAAAACUGGAACAAUAUAGAGAUUAGCAUGGUCCCUGUGCAAGGAUGACAUGCAAAUUCAUGAGCAUUCUAUAUUA
rnacentral:snRNA from 1 species